UACAGGGGGUGCAAACGUUGCUCGGAAUCAUUGGGCGUAAAGCGCGCGCAGGCGGCUAUCCAAGUCAGUGGUGAAAGCCCGGAGCUCAACUCCGGAACUGCCAUUGAAACUGUUUAGCUUGAGGAUGAGAGAGGUGAGUGGAAUUCCCAGUGUAGAGGUGAAAUUCGUAGAUAUUGGGAAGAACACCGGUGGCGAAGGCGGCUCACUGGCUCAGUACUGACGCUCAGGCGCGAUAGCGUGGGGAUCAAACAGG
rnacentral:rRNA from 1 species